GGUUAAGCGACUAAGCGUACACGGUGGAUGCCCUGGCAGUCAGAGGCGAUGAAGGACGUGCUAAUCUGCGAAAAGCGCCGGCGAGGUGAUAUGAACCCUUGACCCGGCGAUGUCCGAAUGGGGAAACCCAGUGCAAUCCGUUGCACUAUCGUUAACUGAAUACAUAGGUUAACGAGGCGAACCGGGGGAACUGAAACAUCUAAGUACCCCGAGGAAAAGAAAUCAACCGAGAUUCCCCCAGUAGCGGCGAGCGAACGGGGAGCAGCCCAGAGUCUGAAUCAGCUUGUGUGUUAGUGGAAGCGUCUGGAAAGUCGCACGGUACAGGGUGAAAGUCCCGUACACGAAAGCACACAGGCUGUGAACUCGAAGAGUAGGGCGGGACACGUGGUAUCCUGUCUGAAUAUGGGGGGACCAUCCUCCAAGGCUAAAUACUCCUGACUGACCGAUAGUGAACCAGUACCGUGAGGGAAAGGCGAAAAGAACCCCGGCGAGGGGAGUGAAAAAGAACCUGAAACCGUGUACGUACAAGCAGUGGGAGCACCUUCGGGUGUGACUGCGUACCUUUUGUAUAAUGGGUCAGCGACUUAUAUUCUGUAGCAAGGUUAACCGUAUAGGGGAGCCGAAGGGAAACCGAGUCUUAACUGGGCGUUAAGUUGCAGGGUAUAGACCCGAAACCCGGUGAUCUAGCCAUGGGCAGGUUGAAGGUUGGGUAACACUAACUGGAGGACCGAACCGACUAAUGUUGAAAAAUUAGCGGAUGACCUGUGGCUGGGGGUGAAAGGCCAAUCAAACCGGGAGAUAGCUGGUUCUCCCCGAAAGCUAUUUAGGUAGCGCCUCGUGAACUCAUCUUCGGGGGUAGAGCACUGUUUCGGCUAGGGGGCCAUCCCGGCUUACCAACCCGAUGCAAACUACGAAUACCGAAGAAUGUUAUCACGGGAGACACACGGCGGGUGCUAACGUCCGUCGUGAAGAGGGAAACAACCCAGACCGCCAGCUAAGGUCCCAAAGUCAUGGUUAAGUGGGAAACGAUGUGGGAAGGCCCAGACAGCCAGGAUGUUGGCUUAGAAGCAGCCAUCAUUUAAAGAAAGCGUAAUAGCUCACUGGUCGAGUCGGCCUGCGCGGAAGAUGUAACGGGGCUAAACCAUGCACCGAAGCUGCGGCAGCGACACUAUGUGUUGUUGGGUAGGGGAGCGUUCUGUAAGCCGUUGAAGGUGGCCUGUGAGGGUUGCUGGAGGUAUCAGAAGUGCGAAUGCUGACAUAAGUAACGAUAAAGCGGGUGAAAAGCCCGCUCGCCGGAAGACCAAGGGUUCCUGUCCAACGUUAAUCGGGGCAGGGUGAGUCGACCCCUAAGGCGAGGCCGAAAGGCGUAGUCGAUGGGAAACAGGUUAAUAUUCCUGUACUUGGUGUUACUGCGAAGGGGGGACGGAGAAGGCUAUGUUAGCCGGGCGACGGUUGUCCCGGUUUAAGCAUGUAGGCGGAGGUUCCAGGUAAAUCCGGUACCUUUUAACGCUGAGGUGUGAUGACGAGGCACUACGGUGCUGAAGUAACAAAUGCCCUGCUUCCAGGAAAAGCCUCUAAGCAUCAGGUAACACGAAAUCGUACCCCAAACCGACACAGGUGGUCAGGUAGAGAAUACCAAGGCGCUUGAGAGAACUCGGGUGAAGGAACUAGGCAAAAUGGUGCCGUAACUUCGGGAGAAGGCACGCUGAUAUGUAGGUGAAGCCCCUGCGGGUGGAGCUGAAAUCAGUCGAAGAUACCAGCUGGCUGCAACUGUUUAUUAAAAACACAGCACUGUGCAAACACGAAAGUGGACGUAUACGGUGUGACGCCUGCCCGGUGCCGGAAGGUUAAUUGAUGGGGUUAGCGGUAACGCGAAGCUCUUGAUCGAAGCCCCGGUAAACGGCGGCCGUAACUAUAACGGUCCUAAGGUAGCGAAAUUCCUUGUCGGGUAAGUUCCGACCUGCACGAAUGGCGUAAUGAUGGCCAGGCUGUCUCCACCCGAGACUCAGUGAAAUUGAACUCGCUGUGAAGAUGCAGUGUACCCGCGGCAAGACGGAAAGACCCCGUGAACCUUUACUAUAGCUUGACACUGAACACUGGUCCUUGAUGUGUAGGAUAGGUGGGAGGCUUUGAAGCGUGGACGCCAGUCUGCGUGGAGCCGUCCUUGAAAUACCACCCUUUAAUGGCUGGUGUUCUAACGUAGACCCGUAAUCCGGGUUGCGGACAGUGUCUGGUGGGUAGUUUGACUGGGGCGGUCUCCUCCCAAAGAGUAACGGAGGAGCACGAAGGUUAGCUAAUCCUGGUCGGACAUCAGGAGGUUAGUGCAAUGGCAUAAGCUAGCUUGACUGCGAGAGUGACGGCUCGAGCAGGUGCGAAAGCAGGUCAUAGUGAUCCGGUGGUUCUGAAUGGAAGGGCCAUCGCUCAACGGAUAAAAGGUACUCCGGGGAUAACAGGCUGAUACCGCCCAAGAGUUCAUAUCGACGGCGGUGUUUGGCACCUCGAUGUCGGCUCAUCACAUCCUGGGGCUGAAGUAGGUCCCAAGGGUAUGGCUGUUCGCCAUUUAAAGUGGUACGCGAGCUGGGUUUAGAACGUCGUGAGACAGUUCGGUCCCUAUCUGCCGUGGGCGCUGGAGAAUUGAGGGGGGCUGCUCCUAGUACGAGAGGACCGGAGUGGACGCAUCACUGGUGUUCGGGUUGUCAUGCCAAUGGCACUGCCCGGUAGCUAAAUGCGGAAGAGAUAAGUGCUGAAAGCAUCUAAGCACGAAACUUGCCCCGAGAUGAGUUCUCCCUGAGACUUUGAGUCUCCUGAAGGAACGUUGAAGACGACGACGUUGAUAGGUCGGGUGUGUAAGCGCAGCGAUGCGUUGAGCUAACCGAUACUAAUGAACCGUGAGGCUUAACCUU
rnacentral:rRNA from 1 species